rnacentral:rRNA from 1 species
CAGUCGCCGCGGUAAAACGGAGGGUGCAAGCGUUAUCCGGAUUUAUUGGGUUUAAAGGGUCCGUAGGCGGACUUAUAAGUCAGUGGUGAAAGCCUGUCGCUUAACGAUAGAACUGCCAUUGAUACUGUAAGUCUUGAGUAUAUUUGAGGUAGCUGGAAUAAGUAGUGUAGCGGUGAAAUGCAUAGAUAUUACUUAGAACACCAAUUGCGAAGGCAGGUUACCAAGAUAUAACUGACGCUGAGGGACGAAAGCGUGGGUAGCGAACAGGAUUAGAUACCCGGGUAGUCCCUGUCUCUUAUAC